rnacentral:rRNA from 1 species
GACAGAGGGGGCAAGCGUUGCUCGGAAUUACUGGGCGUAAAGGGCGCGUAGGCGGAAUGGCAAGUCGGUCGUGAAAUCCUUCGGCUCAACCGAAGAACGUCGAUCGAAACUGCCGUUCUUGAGGAUUGCAGAGGAGACUGGAACUCCCGGUGUAGCGGUGAAAUGUGUAGAGAUCGGGAGGAACACCGGUGGCGAAGGCGGGUCUCUGGGCAAUUCCUGACGCUGAGGCGCGAAAGCGUGGGGAGCAAACGGG